UUAAGUUAAUAAGGGCGCACGGUGGAUGCCUUGGCACUAGGAGCCGACGAAGGACGUGACAAACGACGAUAUGCCUUGGGUAGCUGUAAGUAAGCGAUGAUCCAGGGAUUUCCGAAUGGGGGAACCCAACAGGUAAUACCUGUUACCUACAUCUGUUAAGGAUGUGAGGAGGAAGACGCAGUGAACUGAAACAUCUAAGUAGCUGCAGGAAGAGAAAGCAAAAGCGAUUGCCUUAGUAGCGGCGAGCGAAACGGCAGAAGGGCAAACCGAAGAGUUUACUCUUCGGGGUUGUAGGACUGCAAUGUGGACUCAAAGAUUAUAGAAGAAUGAUUUGGGAAGAUCAGCCAAAGAGAGUAAUAGCCUCGUAUUUAAAAUAGUCUUUGUACUUAGCAGUAUCCUGAGUACGGCGGGACACGUGAAAUCCCGUCGGAAUCUGGGAGGACCAUCUCCCAACCCUAAAUACUCCCUAGUGACCGAUAGUGAACCAGUACCGUGAGGGAAAGGUGAAAAGCACCCCGGGAGGGGAGUGAAAUAGAACCUGAAACCGUGUGCCUACAACAAGUUCGAGCCCGUUAAUGGGUGAGAGCGUGCCUUUUGUAGAAUGAACCGGCGAGUUACGUUAUGAUGCGAGGUUAAGUUGAAGAGACGGAGCCGUAGGGAAACCGAGUCUGAAUAGGGCGCCUUAGUAUCAUGACGUAGACCCGAAACCAUGUGACCUACCCAUGAGCAGGUUGAAGGUGCGGUAAGACGCACUGGAGGACCGAACCAGGGCACGUUGAAAAGUGCUUGGAUGACUUGUGGGUAGCGGAGAAAUUCCAAACGAACUUGGAGAUAGCUGGUUCUCUCCGAAAUAGCUUUAGGGCUAGCGUCGACAUUAGAGAUUCUUGGAGGUAGAGCACUGUUUGGGUGAGGGGUCCAUCCCGGAUUACCAAUCUCAGAUAAACUCCGAAUGCCAAUGAAUUAUGGUCGGCAGUCAGACUGCGAGUGCUAAGAUCCGUAGUCGAAAGGGAAACAGCCCAGACCACCAGCUAAGGUCCCAAAAUAAUUGUUAAGUGGAAAAGGAUGUGGGGUUGCACAGACAACUAGGAUGUUAGCUUAGAAGCAGCUAUUCAUUCAAAGAGUGCGUAAUAGCUCACUAGUCGAGUGACCCUGCGCCGAAAAUGUACCGGGGCUAAAACAAUUUACCGAAGCUGUGGAUACCUUUAUAGGUAUGGUAGGAGAGCGUUCUAUGUGUGAUGAAGGUAUACCGUGAGGAGUGCUGGAACGCAUAGAAGUGAGAAUGCCGGUAUGAGUAGCGAAAGACAGGUGAGAAUCCUGUCCACCGUAAGACUAAGGUUUCCAGGGGAAGGCUCGUCCGCCCUGGGUUAGUCGGGACCUAAGGAGAGACCGAAAGGUGUAUCCGAUGGACAACAGGUUGAUAUUCCUGUACUAGAGUAUGUAGUGAUGGAGGGACGCAGUAGGCUAACUAAAGCAGACGAUUGGAAGAGUCUGUCUAAGCAGUGAGGUGUGAAUUGAGUCAAAUGCUUAAUUCUAUAACAUUGAGCUGUGAUGGGGAGCGAAGUUUAGUAGCGAAGUUAGUGACGUCACACUGCCAAGAAAAGCUUCUAGCGUUUAAACAUACUCUACCCGUACCGCAAACCGACACAGGUAGUCGAGGCGAGUAGCCUCAGGUGAGCGAGAGAACUCUCGUUAAGGAACUCGGCAAAAUGACCCCGUAACUUCGGGAGAAGGGGUGCUGACUUUAAGUCAGCCGCAGUGAAUAGGCCCAAGCAACUGUUUAUCAAAAACACAGCUCUCUGCUAAAUCGUAAGAUGAUGUAUAGGGGGUGACGCCUGCCCGGUGCUGGAAGGUUAAGAGGAGUGCUUAGCGUAAGCGAAGGUAUGAAUUGAAGCCCCAGUAAACGGCGGCCGUAACUAUAACGGUCCUAAGGUAGCGAAAUUCCUUGUCGGGUAAGUUCCGACCCGCACGAAAGGCGUAAUGAUUUGGGCACUGUCUCAACGAGAGACUCGGUGAAAUUUUAGUACCUGUGAAGAUGCAGGUUACCCGCGACAGGACGGAAAGACCCCAUGGAGCUUUACUGCAGUUUGAUAUUGAGUGUCUGUACCACAUGUACAGGAUAGGUAGGAGUCUAAGAGAUCGGGACGCCAGUUUCGAAGGAGACGCUGUUGGGAUACUACCCUUGUGUUAUGGCCACUCUAACCCAGAUAGGUGAUCCCUAUCGGAGACAGUGUCUGACGGGCAGUUUGACUGGGGCGGUCGCCUCCUAAAAGGUAACGGAGGCGCCCAAAGGUUCCCUCAGAAUGGUUGGAAAUCAUUCGCAGAGUGUAAAGGUAUAAGGGAGCUUGACUGCGAGAGCUACAACUCGAGCAGGGACGAAAGUCGGGCUUAGUGAUCCGGUGGUUCCGUAUGGAAGGGCCAUCGCUCAACGGAUAAAAGCUACCCUGGGGAUAACAGGCUUAUCUCCCCCAAGAGUUCACAUCGACGGGGAGGUUUGGCACCUCGAUGUCGGCUCGUCGCAUCCUGGGGCUGUAGUCGGUCCCAAGGGUUGGGCUGUUCGCCCAUUAAAGCGGCACGCGAGCUGGGUUCAGAACGUCGUGAGACAGUUCGGUCCCUAUCCGUCGCGGGCGUAGGAAAUUUGAGAGGAUCUGCUCCUAGUACGAGAGGACCAGAGUGGACUUACCGCUGGUGUACCAGUUGUCUUGCCAAAGGCAUCGCUGGGUAGCUAUGUAGGGAAGGGAUAAACGCUGAAAGCAUCUAAGUGUGAAACCCACCUCAAGAUGAGAUUUCCCAUGAUUAUAUAUCAGUAAGAGCCCUGAGAGAUGAUCAGGUAGAUAGGUUAGAAGUGGAAGUGUGGCGACACAUGUAGCGGACUAAUACUAAUAGCUCGAGGACUUAUCCAA
rnacentral:rRNA from 3 species